GAUGAAGAACGCAGUGAAAUGCGAUAAGUAAUGUGAAUUGCAGAAUUCAGUGAAUCAUCGAAUCUUUGAACGCACAUUGCGCCCGCCAGUAUUCUGGCGGGCAUGCCUGUUCGAGCGUCAUUUCAACCAUCAAGCCCCCGGCUUGUGUUGGGGACCUGCGGCUGCCGCAGGCCCUGAAAACCAGUGGCGGGCUCGCUAGUCACUCCGAGCGUAGUAAUACAUCUCGCUCAGGGCGUGCUGCGGGUUCCGGCCGUUAAAAAGCCUUAUUUACCCAAGGUUGACCUCGGAUCAGGUAGGAAGACCCGCUGAACUUAAGCAUAUCAAAAGCGGAGGA
rnacentral:misc_RNA from 1 species